rnacentral:rRNA from 1 species
AGAGUUUGAUCAUGGCUCAGAACGAACGCUGGCGGCAUGCCUCAUACAUGCAAGUCGAACGAAGGCUUCGGCCUUAGUGGCGCACGGGUGAGUAGCGCGUGGGAACCUACCCUUUUGUGGGGGAUAACCGAGGGAAACUUCGGCUAAUACCGCAUACGCCGGGUAACCGGGAAAGAUUUAUCGCAGAAGGAUGGGCCCGCGUCGGAUUAGCUAGUUGGUGGGGUAAUGGCCUACCAAGGCAAUGAUCCGUAGCUGGUCUGAGAGGAUGAUCAGCCACACUGGGACUGAGACACGGCCCAGACUCCUACGGGAGGCAGCAGUAGGGAAUAUUGGACAAUGGGCGAAAGCCUGAUCCAGCAAUGCCGCGUGAGUGAGGAAGGCCUUAGGGUUGUAAAGCUCUUUCGGCGGGGACGAUGAUGACGGUACCUGCAGAAGAAGCCCCGGCUAACUUCGUGCCAGCAGCCGCGGUAAUACGAAGGGGGCGAGCGUUGUUCGGAAUUACUGGGCGUAAAGGGCGCGUAGGCGGCCAUCUUUGUCAGGCGUGAAAGCCCUGGGCUCAACCCAGGAAUUGCGCUCGGGACGGGUUGGCUUGAGUUCGGGAGAGGAGAGUGGAAUUCCCAGUGUAGAGGUGAAAUUCGUAGAUAUUGGGAAGAACACCGGUGGCGAAGGCGGCUCUCUGGACCGAUACUGACGCUGAGGCGCGAAAGCGUGGGGAGCAAACAGGAUUAGAUACCCCCGUAGUCC